UACGUAGGGUGCAAGCGUUGUCCGGAAUUAUUGGGCGUAAAGAGCUCGUAGGUGGCCUGUCGCGUCGGCUGUGAAAACUCGGGGCUCAACUCCGAGCUUGCAGUCGAUACGGGCAGGCUAGAGUUCGGCAGGGGAGACUGGAAUUCCUGGUGUAGCGGUGAAAUGCGCAGAUAUCAGGAGGAACACCGGUGGCGAAGGCGGGUCUCUGGGCCGAUACUGACACUGAGGAGCGAAGCGUGGGAGCGAACAGG
rnacentral:rRNA from 1 species